rnacentral:rRNA from 1 species
AUGAAAGGGUGAAUUUGUGAUUUUGCGAAUUAUUCGCAAAGUGAAGAUUUACUCAGAAUAAGAUGGCGGCUUGUCUGACGUCUUAUUCGGAUACAAAACAAAAUUUGUAAGACACUGACGCCUAAGCGAAAAGUUUAGGAGUUGUAAGUGAGUCCUGCUCUGCAGGAAAAUGCAAUUUUUGUAUUAAUGAGUUGAAUAGCACUGAAAAUCGAUUGAGUGCAGAUGCUGCUCUCUACCAAGAUAAAUUUCUUGUCUUGGAUGAAGUAAGUCUGCAACGUAGAGGCAUACGAGGUAAAUACAGAUGGUCACCCAACUGCUACUUUACCACGUUGCCUCUAGCCGAUUUAAAUACUAUUCGAUUGCUUUGGGUACGUGGCCGUGGAAUACUGCGGCUUUCUGUACCCAACGAAAACUCGUUUUUCUUAUUAAUAACCUAACUAUCAGCUUGCUUCUGCCCUCGUGGCUGGAGGUGAGUCUAAGAAUAGUAAUCUGGUUGA